UACGUAGGGUGCAAGCGUUGUCCGGAGUUAUUGGGCGUAAAGAGCUCGUAGGCGGUUCGUCACGUCGGCUGUGAAAACCUGAGGCUCAACCUCAGGCCUGCAGUCGAUACGGGCGGACUUGAGUACUGCAGGGGAGACUGGAAUUCCUGGUGUAGCGGUGAAAUGCGCAGAUAUCAGGAGGAACACCGGCGGCGAAGGCGGGUCUCUGGGCCGUAACUGACGCUGAGGAGCGAAAGCGUGGGGAGCGAACAGG
rnacentral:rRNA from 1 species